GAUGAACGCUGGCGGCGUGCCUAAUACAUGCAAGUCGAGCGAACAGACGAGGAGCUUGCUUCUCUGACGUUAGCGGCGGACGGGUGAGUAACACGUGGAUAACCUACCUAUAAGACUGGGAUAACUUCGGGAAACCGGAGCUAAUACCGGAUAAUAUAUUGAACCGCAUGGUUCAAUAGUGAAAGACGGUUUUGCUGUCACUUAUAGAUGGAUCCGCGCCGCAUUAGCUAGUUGGUAAGGUAACGGCUUACCAAGGCAACGAUACGUAGCCGACCUGAGAGGGUGAUCGGCCACACUGGAACUGAGACACGGUCCAGACUCCUACGGGAGGCAGCAGUAGGGAAUCUUCCGCAAUGGGCGAAAGCCUGACGGAGCAACGCCGCGUGAGUGAUGAAGGUCUUCGGAUCGUAAAACUCUGUUAUUAGGGAAGAACAAAUGUGUAAGUAACUAUGCACGUCUUGACGGUACCUAAUCAGAAAGCCACGGCUAACUACGUG
rnacentral:rRNA from 1 species